AUUGAACGCUGGCGGCAGGCCUAACACAUGCAAGUCGAGCGGAUGAAGGGAGCUUGCUCCUGGAUUCAGCGGCGGACGGGUGAGUAAUGCCUAGGAAUCUGCCUGGUAGUGGGGGAUAACGUCCGGAAACGGGCGCUAAUACCGCAUACGUCCUGAGGGAGAAAGUGGGGGAUCUUCGGACCUCACGCUAUCAGAUGAGCCUAGGUCGGAUUAGCUAGUUGGUGGGGUAAAGGCCUACCAAGGCGACGAUCCGUAACUGGUCUGAGAGGAUGAUCAGUCACACUGGAACUGAGACACGGUCCAGACUCCUACGGGAGGCAGCAGUGGCGAAUAUUGGACAAUGGGCGAAAGCCUGAUCCAGCCAUGCCGCGUGUGUGAAGAAGGUCUUCGGAUUGUAAAGCACUUUACGUUGGGAGGAAGGGCAGUAAGUUAAUACCUUGCUGUUUUGACGUUACCAACAGAAUAAGCACCGGCUAACUUCGUG
rnacentral:rRNA from 1 species